GGGCGGCUCCCGCGCGCGGAGCUGACAGGAAAACCGUCGCGGGGACAGCGGAGCGCUCCACGGCCCGGGGAGGCGGACGGGACGCGCAGGGCAAAGGAGCGGCAGACGGGAAAGCGGCGCUGAGGCAUUCUGGCAGUCCCAGGCAAAAGGAAUCAUAAGAAAACUCAUCUUGCCAGCGCAGCAGCACUGGGAGGACAUUGCCUGUGGUCAGCAGUAAGAGUGAAACUGAGUAUCUGCAGCCAGUUCCCAGCAGACAAAAUCUGAGCAAAGCCAGGACCCACUCUUCAGUUCACUUUCUUAACAUGAGACCAGUUCACCAGGGCUGUGGAAGAACACAGCAGGAUAUGAGCCAGUGGGGUGUGCCAAGACAACAUCGUUCAAGCACAAACACUACUUGAUGGUGGCACAGAGCUGAGGAAGGACUGUGCUCCAAGGCCAAGCCCCACCAUCCCCCCAGCUUAGGUUAGUAAAUCACCUCUCCUCUCUUCUGGAAGUGAAACAAUCCCAAGCCCCUGUGCUCAUAUUAUCACUGUACUUGAUGUCUGUCAUCUUCUGUUUCUAUCUCAUAUUCAAGUUGCUCUCAAGGCCCUUCACAUGUAUGAGUGGUGAUGGGACAAACAACGUAACAGCAUUGUGUUACCUUUCCCUACUAGAAUGAACCCACGUUAGUGCAAGUUUUCUUGAUUACUCUCAUUUUGGGUGCAGAGCUGUGCACAAGCAUCCCUGUAACACUGCUCUCAGAAGCAGUGCAGAGUUCACAGCCUAAAACCUCCAGCAGCCUGGAACUAAGCUUUAAGAACAAAAUCAGCAAUACAAUUUUGCCCGUGUUCUCUCCAGACUUGGCUCUGCUGCAGUUCCCCACUCCAGACAAGUCAGCUCCUGUGCUCCCUCUCCAUCACCCUCAAUCAUGUCAGCAAAUUCCCCAGAACUGUCCCAGAAGGCGGAGCACUGCCAGCAGGGAGGGAGCUGUAGACAGUCCUGGCCAGACAGCCUCCAGCAUGCCAUCUCACAGCCUUUAGUACAUGCUGCACAGCCUGGAGAUGCAAACUGUGGCUUUUGGUCAACUACUGUCAUGUAUUUGUUUGUCUAUCCAAGGGGUCACUUUAAGCAUCUACUUGGGAAACGUCCUAUGUUUUGGGCUCCUGACGUGACCUGAAGCAACAGAAACAUCUUUAUUCUAAUGAAACAAAGGAGCAGGGCAGGCUUGAGGUGCUGUGACCAUUCCAGUGCCAGUAAGAGCUCUCUUUUUAUGGACAGCAAGCAAGGAAACCUGACUGCCCAUGCCAGCAAAGUCUGCUCAAGAGUCUCUUGGGUAAGAAGUAGUCAGAGAGCCAGUGUGAGAGAGUGACCCUUCUGUAGAUUGAGACACAUCUUGCUUUUUAAUCAACAACUACCAAUACCUCAUCUCAUAUCAUUUCUGGCCAAAAUUGUUAUCACUUGUAAAGUCAUACAGUGAAUCAAGAACAAAACCAAGAUCCUUCUCUGAUGCUAAAUCCUUUCUGCCAGCAGAGCUGACAAUUGACUUCAGCUUGGUUGCAAGUAUUUACUCAUAAGGGCAAAAAAAACUUGGAAGCACUUGGGGGCAAUAGUAGCUAGACUCCUACAGGGACUGAGAGGAGAUGUGUUUUGGUCAACCUGGUGGCAAUUAGGAGUCCUAGCACCAUCUGUGAACUGUGAUGGAAAAAAAACUGUAAGCAGCUGUGUACCAGCCCCUGGAAACCUCCAUAGGCAGCACGUACUGACCAGGCAACCUUGACACUUCAGUCUCUGCUGGGACAAAGUGAAACCCAGCUACCUCCCAGCUCUGACAGAGAAGCCUGGGGAAGAGAUGGGGUCAGAUGGGAACCAGGGAGGCUGCCAUCUCUGAUCUACAGUGUUUGAGCACAGCAACACAUGGAGAGAUCUUAGGAAAAUGCUUAAUUCCCAUCAAAACAAAUCAGCUCCCAGCUCUCUACACAGCUAUAGCUGAGCGCAGCCUAACCACAAGGGUUGUGUUGAAAAGGAUUAAAGACGAUUGUUUAUACCAGCAGAUCCCAUUUUCCUGCUGACAGUUGAGACAAGUGUGGCUGCACACAGGCUGUUUGCUUGGCUCAGUGGGUCAUUUCAGCCAGGGCUUAGCACAAGCUAUGGAGCUACUAGGUUCUUUAUCACACCUGCUAUUGAGCCCUUACCCAAAGUUUCCUCCUAGCAGUGGAGAAAGACUUCUACAACAGUGGUAAAGGAGGAGAUACAGACCCUGAGAUGUACUCUGAUAAUAGU